rnacentral:rRNA from 1 species
CCCUAUGGGGUGCUGAUGGAUGAACCGACUUCUGCGCUCGAUCCCAUUUCCACGGGCCGCAUUGAGGAGCUGAUUGCGGAGCUGAAGAGCGAGUACACCAUCAUCAUCGUGACGCACAACAUGCAGCAGGCCGCGCGCGUCUCCGACAGCACGGCGUUCUUCCUCCUCGGCGACAUGAUCGAGAUGGGCAAGACCGAGCAGAUCUUCAAGCUGCCCGUCGACAAGCGCACCGAAGAUUACAUCACCGGCCGGUUCGGCUGAUACGAGAUACGCCUUUAUUGGAGGCUCCGCCUCCAAACCACCGCUUAAGGGGCAUUGCCCCUUAAUAAUCCCAUCGUGCGAAACGCCCUUUCAGGGCAUUUCGCGGAAAUGGGAUUCCAAAGGGACGGAUCCCUUUGGCGGGGGGGC